rnacentral:rRNA from 1 species
AGCGAACGCUGGCGGUAGGCCUAACACAUGCAAGUCGAACGGCAGCACAGUAAGAGCUUGCUCUUACGGGUGGCGAGUGGCGGACGGGUGAGGAAUAUAUCGGAAUCUACUCUUUCGUGGGGGAUAACGUAGGGAAACUUACGCUAAUACCGCAUACGACCUACGGGUGAAAGCAGGGGAUCUUCGGACCUUGCGCGGUUGAAUGAGCCGAUGUGGGAUUAGCUAGUUGGGGGGGUAAAGGCCCACCAUGUCGACGAUCCGUAGCUGGACUGAGUGGAUGAUCAGCGACACUGGAGCUGAGACACGGUCCAGGCUCCUACGGGAGGCAGCAGAGGCGAAUGUUAGACAGUAGGCGCAAGCCUGAUCCAGCCAUCCCGCGUCGGUGAAGAAGACGUUCGGGUUGUAAAGCCCUUUUGUUGGGAGAGAAAAGCUGCAGGUUGAUACCCCGCUGUAGUGACGGUACCCAGAGAAUAAGCACCGGCUAACUACGUG